rnacentral:rRNA from 1 species
UACGUAGGGUGCAAGCGUUAAUCGGAAUUACUGGGCGUAAAGCGUGCGCAGGCGGUGAUGUAAGACAGAUGUGAAAUCCCCGGGCUCAACCUGGGAACUGCAUCUGUGACUGCAUAGCUAGAGUACGGGUAGAGGGGGAUGGAAUUCCGCGUGUAGCAGUGAAAUGCGUAGAUAUGCGGAGGAACACCGAUGGCGAAGGCAAUCCCCUGGACCUGUACUGACGCUCAUGCACGAAAGCGUGGGGAGCAAACAGG